GAGUUUGAUCCUGGCUCAGGAUGAACGCUGGCGGCGCGCCUAACACAUGCAAGUCGAACGGCACCCCUCUCCGGAGGGAAGCGAGUGGCGAACGGCUGAGUAACACGUGGAGAACCUGCCCCCUCCCCCGGGAUAGCCGCCCGAAAGGACGGGUAAUACCGGAUACCCCGGGGUGCCGCAUGGCACCCCGGCUAAAGCCCCGACGGGAGGGGAUGGCUCCGCGGCCCAUCAGGUAGACGGCGGGGUGACGGCCCACCGUGCCGACAACGGGUAGCCGGGUUGAGAGACCGACCGGCCAGAUUGGGACUGAGACACGGCCCAGACUCCUACGGGAGGCAGCAGUGGGGAAUAUUGCACAAUGGGGGAAACCCUGAUGCAGCGACGCCGCGUGGAGGAAGAAGGUCUUCGGAUUGUAAACUCCUGUUGUUGAGGAAGAUAAUGACGGUACUCAACAAGGAAGUGACGGCUAACUACGUGCCAGCAGCCGCGGUAAUUC
rnacentral:rRNA from 1 species